AAUAGAUACCCUGGUAGUCCACGCCGUAAACGAUGAGUGCUAAGUGUUGGGGGGUUUCCGCCCCUCAGUGCUGCAGCUAACGCAUUAAGCACUCCGCCUGGGGAGUACGGUCGCAAGACUGAAACUCAAAGGAAUUGACGGGGGCCCGCACAAGCGGUGGAGCAUGUGGUUUAAUUCGAAGCAACGCGAAGAACCUUACCAGGUCUUGACAUCCCGGUGACCACUAUGGAGACAUAGUUUCCCCUUCGGGGGCAACGGUGACAGGUGGUGCAUGGUUGUCGUCAGCUCGUGUCGUGAGAUGUUGGGUUAAGUCCCGCAACGAGCGCAACCCUUAUUCUUAGUUGCCAUCAUUCAGUUGGGCACUCUAAGGAGACUGCCGGUGAUAAACCGGAGGAAGGUGGGGAUGACGUCAAAUCAUCAUGCCCCUUAUGACCUGGGCUACACACGUGCUACAAUGGACGGUACAAACAGUUGCCAACCCGCGAGGGGGAGCUAAUCCGAUAAAACCGUUCUCAGUUCGGAUUGUAGGCUGCAACUCGCCUAC
rnacentral:rRNA from 1 species